rnacentral:rRNA from 1 species
UACAGAGACCUCAAGCGUUAUCCGGAUUUAUUGGGCGUAAAGCGUCCGCAGGUGGUUUAGUGUGUCAGGGGUUAAAACCUACAGCUUAACUGUAGGAUCGCCUUUGAAACUGCUAAAACUAGAGCACGGAAGAGGUGAGCGGAAUUCUCGGUGUAGUCGUAAUAAGCGUUGAUAUCGAGAAGAACACCAAAUGCGAAGGCAGCUCACUGGUACGUUGCUGACACUCAUGGCGAAAGCGUGGGGAGCAAACAGG